AUUGAACGCUGGCGGUAUGCUUAAGACAUGCAAGUCGAGCGGACUUAUGGGGUAACUUAUAAGUCAGCGGCGGACGGCGGAGUAACACGUAGCUAACCUACCCUCUGGACGGGGAUAACCUACCGAAAGGUGGGCUAAUACCCGAUGUAGUCAUCCUGUAUAGGGGUGAUGAAAGGUGGGCUUCUGUUUACAAGCUCAUGCUGGAGGAGGGGGCUGCGGCCUAUCAGGUAGUUGGUAGGGUAAUAGCCUACCAAGCCGAUGACGGGUAGCCGGCCUGAGAGGGUGACCGGCCCGAGGGGCACUGAGAUACGGGUCCCACUCCUACGGGAGGCAGCAGGCUAGAAAUUUGGGCAAUGGGGGAAACCCUGACCCAGUGACGCCGCGUGCAGGAAGGAGCCCUUCGGGGUGUAAACUGCUGUCGUGUAGGGAGAAGGGUACUAAGGUGAACAAUCUUAGUACUUGACGGUACUACAGGAGGAAGCCCAGGCUAACCUCGUG
rnacentral:rRNA from 1 species